AACCGCGGCCGGAGCCGGCCCCCCAGGAUAGGGCUCCUGGAGGUCAGGGGUGAUUGAUGUGCGCCGGCCGUACCGCCCCAUUCUUGUCUACCUUACUCGGUUGCCUCGGCGGGCCGCGCUCUCCCAGGAGAGCCGUUCGGCGAGCCUCUCUUUAUAGCGGCUCAACGCUGGACCGCGCCCGCCGGAGGACAGACGCAAAAAAAAAUUCUUUCAGAAGAGCUGUCAGUCUGAGCGUUAGCAAGCAAAAAUCAGUUAAAACUUUCAACAACGGAUCUCUUGGUUCCGGCAUCGAUGAAGAACGCAGCGAAAUGCGAUAACUAAUGUGAAUUGCAGAAUUCCGUGAAUCAUCGAAUCUUUGAACGCACAUUGCGCCCCCUGGCAUUCC
rnacentral:misc_RNA from 1 species